rnacentral:rRNA from 1 species
CUUUCGGGCUGAGUAGAGCGGCGGACGGGUGAGUAACGCGUAGGAAUCUACCUGGUAGUGGGGGACAACUUGGGGAAACUCAAGCUAAUACCGCAUACGCCCUAAGGGGGAAAGCGGGGGACCUUCGGGCCUCGCGCUAUCGGAUGAGCCUGCGUAGGAUUAGCUAGUUGGUGGGGUAAAGGCCCACCAAGGCGACGAUCCUUAGCUGGUCUGAGAGGAUGAUCAGCCACACUGGAACUGAGACACGGUCCAGACUCCUACGGGAGGCAGCAGUGGGGAAUAUUGCGCAAUGGGCGAAAGCCUGACGCAGCCAUGCCGCGUGUGUGAAGAAGGCCUUAGGGUUGUAAAGCACUUUCAAUUGGGAAGAAAAGUUUGUCGUUAAUAGCGCCAAGCUCUGACAUUACCUUUAGAAGAAGCACCGGCUAACUCCGUGCCAGCAGCCGCGGUAAUACGGAGGGUGCGAGCGUUAAUCGGAAUUACUGGGCGUAAAGCGCGCGUAGGCGGUUUGUUAAGUCAGCUGUGAAAGCCCCGGGCUCAACC